AACCAUAGAAACCUGCGGAGUACCUGCGGAGGGAUCAUUAUAGAGAACCCUGCCCUUUGGGUAGAUCUCCCACCCUAUGUUUACAAUACCUUUGUUGCUUUGGCAGGCCCGCCUUUCUGACCACUGGCUUCGGCUGGUCAGUGCUUGCCAGAGGACCCUAACUCUUGAUUUUAGCAUUGUCUGAGUAUUGUAUCAAUAGUUAAAACUUUUAACAACGGAUCUCAGAUCGGAAGAGCACAC
rnacentral:misc_RNA from 1 species